rnacentral:tRNA from 13 species
GUGUGACCGAGUGGUCUAAGGUGAUAGACUCAAGAUCUAUUGGUUAUACCGCGUGGGUUCGAA